AGGUCAGUUAGCUCAAUUGGUAGAGCAAUCGCCUGCAGAGCGAAAGGUUACUGGUUCAAGUCCAGUACUGACCUU
rnacentral:tRNA from 1 species